rnacentral:rRNA from 1 species
UACGGAAGGCAGCAGUGGGGAAUAUUGCACAAUGGGCGCAAGCCUGAUGCAGCCAUGCCGCGUGUAUGAAGAAGGCCUUCGGGUUGUAAAGUACUUUCAGUCGUGAGGAAGGUGUUAAGGUUAAUAACCUUAGCAAUUGACGUUAGCGACAGAAGAAGCACCGGCUAACUCCGUGCCAGCAGCCGCGGUAAUACGGAGGGUGCGAGCGUUAAUCGGAAUUACUGGGCGUAAAGGGCACGCAGGCGGUUAAUUAAGUUGGAUGUGAAAUACCCCGGGCCGUUAACCUCGGGAAGUGGCAUUCAAGACUGGUUAGCUAGAGUCUUGUAGAGGGGGUAGGAAUUACCAUGUGUAGCGGUGAAAUAGCGUAGAGAUGUGGAGGAAGUACCGGUGGCGAAGGACGGGCCCCUCGGA